UGGGGAAUUUUGGACAAUGGGGGCAACCCUGAUCCAGCCAUGCCGCGUGCGGGAAGAAGGCCUUCGGGUUGUAAACCGCUUUUGUUCGGGAAGAAAUCCUCUGGGCUAAUACCCCGGGGGGAUGACGGUACCGGAAGAAUAAGCACCGGCUAACUACGUGCCAGCAGCCGCGGUAAUACGUAGGGUGCGAGCGUUAAUCGGAAUUACUGGGCGUAAAGCGUGCGCAGGCGGUUGUGCAAGACAGAUGUGAAAUCCCCGGGCUUAACCUGGGAACUGCAUUUGUGACUGCACGGCUAGAGUGCGGCAGAGGGGAGUGGAAUUCCGCGUGUAGCAGUGAAAUGCGUAGAUAUGCGGAGGAACACCGAAUGGCGAAGGCAGCUCCCUGGGCCUGCACUGACGCUCAUGCACGAAAGCGUGGGGAGACAAAC
rnacentral:rRNA from 1 species